AUUCACAAUCUCUGUGGACAUGAUCUGCCAGAAAAAGCCGAAGGAGAGCCUAAGGAAAAUGGGCUGGUUAUCUUGGUAUCUGUUAUAACAUCCUGCCUACAGACCCUUAAAUACUGUGAUUCCAAACUAGCUGCUUUGGAACUUAUUCUUCAUUUGGCUCCAAGAUUAAGUGUUGAAAUCCUUUUGGAUCGUAUUACUCCAUAUCUUUUGCAUUUCAGCAAUGACUCUGUUCCUAGGGUGAGGGCUGAAGCCUUGAGGACGUUGACCAAAGUUCUUGCUCUCGUCAAAGAGGUUCCUCGUAAUGAUAUCAAUAUUUAUCCGGAAUACAUUCUGCCAGGCAUAGCCCACUUAGCCCAAGAUGAUGCUACUAUCGUUAGACUAGCCUAUGCUGGUGUUGCUGCCUAUGUUGGCUGGCAAAGCUCCUCAAUUCUCAAGCCCCUGCUGCAACAAGGUCUUAGUGAUGCUGAGGAAUUUGUCAUUGUGAAAGCUCUUUAUGCCCUUACUUGUAUGUGCCAGUUAGGACUGCUACAAAAACCCCAUGUUUACGAAUUUGCCAGUGAUAUUGCCCC
rnacentral:sRNA from 1 species